GGGUUGUGAGGUUAAGCGACUAAGCGUACACGGUGGAUGCCCUGGCAGUCAGAGGCGAUGAAGGACGUGCUAAUCUGCGAUAAGCGUCGGUAAGGUGAUAUGAACCGUUAUAACCGGCGAUUUCCGAAUGGGGAAACCCAGUGUGUUUCGACACACUAUCAUUAACUGAAUCCAUAGGUUAAUGAGGCGAACCGGGGGAACUGAAACAUCUAAGUACCCCGAGGAAAAGAAAUCAACCGAGAUUCCCCCAGUAGCGGCGAGCGAACGGGGAGCAGCCCAGAGCCUGAAUCAGUGUGUGUGUUAGUGGAAGCGUCUGGAAAGGCGCGCGAUACAGGGUGACAGCCCCGUACACAAAAAUGCACAUACUGUGAGCUCGAUGAGUAGGGCGGGACACGUGGUAUCCUGUCUGAAUAUGGGGGGACCAUCCUCCAAGGCUAAAUACUCCUGACUGACCGAUAGUGAACCAGUACCGUGAGGGAAAGGCGAAAAGAACCCCGGCGAGGGGAGUGAAAAAGAACCUGAAACCGUGUACGUACAAGCAGUGGGAGCACGCUUCGGCGUGUGACUGCGUACCUUUUGUAUAAUGGGUCAGCGACUUAUAUUCUGUAGCAAGGUUAACCGAAUAGGGGAGCCGAAGGGAAACCGAGUCUUAACUGGGCGUUAAGUUGCAGGGUAUAGACCCGAAACCCGGUGAUCUAGCCAUGGGCAGGUUGAAGGUUGGGUAACACUAACUGGAGGACCGAACCGACUAAUGUUGAAAAAUUAGCGGAUGA
rnacentral:rRNA from 1 species